CCGGUUCCGGUUCACGCCACACGGCGACCCGGCGACC
rnacentral:ncRNA from 1 species